GUGGGGAAUAUUGCACAAUGGGCGCAAGCCUGAUGCAGCGACGCCGCGUGAGGGAUGACGGCCUUCGGGUUGUAAACCUCUGUUAGCAGGGAAGAAGAGAGAUUGACGGUACCUGCAGAGAAAGCGCCGGCUAACUACGUGCCAGCAGCCGCGGUAAUACGUAGGGCGCGAGCGUUGUCCGGAAUUAUUGGGCGUAAAGAGCUUGUAGGCGGUUUGUCGCGUCUGCUGUGAAAGGCCGGAGCUUAACUCCGUGUAUUGCAGUGGGUACGGGCAGACUAGAGUGCAGUAGGGGAGACUGGAAUUCCUGGUGUAGCGGUGGAAUGCGCAGAUAUCAGGAGGAACACCGAUGGCGAAGGCAGGUCUCUGGGCUGUAACUGACGCUGAGAAGCGAAAGCAUGGGGAGCGAACAGGAUUAGAAACCCUAGUAGUCC
rnacentral:rRNA from 1 species